UACGUAGGGGGCUAGCGUUGUCCGGAUUUACUGGGCGUAAAGAGCGCGCAGGCGGUCGUUCAAGUCGCGUGUGAAAGCCCCCGGCUCAACUGGGGAGGGUCACGCGAUACUGAUCGACUGGAAGGCAGGAGAGGGUAGUGGAAUUCCCGGUGUAGUGGUGAAAUGCGUAGAGAUCCGGAGGAACACCAGUGGCGUAGGCGGCUCUCUGGGUCCGCCCUGACGCUGAGGCGCGAAAGCGUGGGGAGCGAACGGG
rnacentral:rRNA from 1 species